rnacentral:rRNA from 1 species
GAUGAACGCUAGCGACAGGCUUAACACAUGCAAGUCGAGGGGCAGCGGGGUAGUGCUUGCACUACUGCCGGCGACCGGCACACGGGUGAGUAACACGUAUGGAACCUGCCCGCAUCAGGGGGAUAAGCGGAAGAAAUUCCCUCUAAUACCGCGUAACAACGUUCGGAGGCAUCUCCCGAUGUUUAAAGAUUUAUCGGCUGCUGAUGGCCAUGCGGCACAUUACCUAGUCAGCGGGGUAACGGCCCACCAAGGCGACGAUGCCUAAGGGUUCUGACAGGAAGGUCCCCCACGCUGGUACUGACACACUGACCAGACUCCUACGGGAGGCAACAAUGAGGAAUAGUGGUCAAUGGCCAACAGGCUGAACCACCCAAGUCACGAGAGGGAUGACGGCCCUACAGGUUGUAAACCUCUUUUGUCAGGGAGCAAAGGGAGUCACGUGUGACUCAUUGAAAGUACCCGAAUAAAAAGCAUCGGCUAACUCCGUGCCAGCAGCCGCGAUAAUACGGACGAUGCCAGCAUUAUCCGGAUUUAUUGGGUUUAAAGGGUGCGCAGGCAGACGUGCAACUCAGCGGUCAAAUUGCGGGGCUCAACCCCGUACUGCCGUUGAAACUGCAUCCCUUGAGUGCGCGAGAAGUAUGCGGAAUGCGUGGUGUAGCGGUGAAAUGCAUAGAUAUCACGCAGAACUCCGAUUGCGAAGGCAGCAUACCGGCGCGCAACUGACGCUCAUGCACGAAAGCGUGGGUAUCGAACAGGAUUAGAUACCCUGGUAGUCCACGCAGUAAACGAUGAACACUAACUGUUCGGCCAGAAUGAUGGCUGAGUGGUACAGCGAAAGCGUUAAGUGUUCCACCUGGGGAGUACGCCGGCAACGGUGAAACUCAAAGGAAUUGACGGGGGCCCGCACAAGCGGAGGAACAUGUGGUUUAAUUCGAUGAUACGCGAGGAACCUUACCCGGGCUCAAACGACACAGGAAUACUUUUGAAAGGAGGUAGCCCUACGGGGUCUGUGUCGAGGUGCUGCAUGGUUGUCGUCAGCUCGUGCCGUGAGGUGUCGGCUUAAGUGCCAUAACGAGCGCAACCCCUAUCGCCAGUUGCCAUCAAGUAAAGUUGGGGACUCUGGCGAGACUGCCGGCGCAAGCUGUGAGGAAGGCGGGGAUGACGUCAAAUCAGCACGGCCCUUACGUCCGGGGCGACACACGUGUUACAAUGGCAGGUACAGAGAGAAGCCAGGUGGCGACACCGAGCGGAACUCGAAAGCCUGUCUCAAUUCGGAUCGGAGUCUGCAACCCGACUCCGUGAAGCUGGAUUCGCUAGUAAUCGCGCAUCAGCCAUGGCGCGGUGAAUACGUUCCCGGGCCU